rnacentral:rRNA from 1 species
CUGAAACAUCUUAGUACCCGGAGGAAGAGAAAGAAAAUUCGAUUCCCUUAGUAGCGGCGAGCGAAACGGGAAGAGCCCAAACCAACAAGCUUGCUUGUUGGGGUUGUAGGACACUCUAUACGGAGUUACAAAGGACGACAUUAGACGAAUCAUCUGGAAAGAUGAAUCAAAGAAGGUAAUAAUCCUGUAGUCGAAAAUGUUGUCUCUCUUGAGUGGAUCCUGAGUACGACGGAGCACGUGAAAUUCCGUCGGAAUCUGGGAGGACCAUCUCCUAAGGCUAAAUACUCUCUAGUGACCGAUAGUGAACCAGUACCGUGAGGGAAAGGUGAAAAGCACCCCGGAAGGGGAGUGAAAUAGAACCUGAAACCGUGUGCUUACAAGUAGUCAGAGCCCGUUAAUGGGUGAUGGCGUGCCUUUUGUAGAAUGAACCGGCGAGUUACGAUUUGAUGCAAGGUUAAGCAGUAAAUGUGGAGCCGUAGCGAAAGCGAGUCUGAAUAGGGCGUUUAGUAUUUGGUCGUAGACCCGAAACCAGGUGAUCUACCCUUGGUCAGGUUGAAGUUCAGGUAACACUGAAUGGAGGACCGAACCGACUUACGUUGAAAAGUGAGCGGAUGAACUGAGGGUAGCGGAGAAAUUCCAAUCGAACCUGGAGAUAGCUGGUUCUCUCCGAAAUAGCUUUAGGGCUAGCCUCAAGUGAUGAUUAUUGGAGGUAGAGCACUGUUUGGACGAGGGGCCCCUCUCGGGUUACCGAAUUCAGACAAACUCCGAAUGCCAAUUAAUUUAACUUGGGAGUCAGAACAUGGGUGAUAAGGUCCGUGUUCGAAAGGGAAACAGCCCAGACCACCAGCUAAGGUCCCAAAAUAUAUGUUAAGUGGAAAAGGAUGUGGCGUUGCCCAGACAACUAGGAUGUUGGCUUAGAAGCAGCCAUCAUUUAAAGAGUGCGUAAUAGCUCACUAGUCGAGUGACACUGCGCCGAAAAUGUACCGGGGCUAAACAUAUUACCGAAGCUGUGGAUUGUCCUUUGGACAAUGGUAGGAGAGCGUUCUAAGGGCGUUGAAGCAUGAUCGUAAGGACAUGUGGAGCGCUUAGAAGUGAGAAUGCCGGUGUGAGUAGCGAAAGACGGGUGAGAAUCCCGUCCACCGAUUGACUAAGGUUUCCAGAGGAAGGCUCGUCCGCUCUGGGUUAGUCGGGUCCUAAGCUGAGGCCGACAGGCGUAGGCGAUGGAUAACAGGUUGAUAUUCCUGUACCACCUAUAAUCGUUUUAAUCGAUGGGGGGACGCAGUAGGAUAGGCGAAGCGUGCGAUUGGAUUGCACGUCUAAGCAGUAAGGCUGAGUAUUAGGCAAAUCCGGUACUCGUUAAGGCUGAGCUGUGAUGGGGAGAAGACAUUGNGUCUUCGAGUCGUUGAUUUCACACUGCCGAGAAAAGCCUCUAGAUAGAAAAUAGGUGCCCGUACCGCAAACCGACACAGGUAGUCAAGAUGAGAAUUCUAAGGUGAGCGAGCGAACUCUCGUUAAGGAACUCGGCAAAAUGACCCCGUAACUUCGGGAGAAGGGGUGCUCUUUAGGGUUAACGCCCAGAAGAGCCGCAGUGAAUAGGCCCAAGCGACUGUUUAUCAAAAACACAGGUCUCUGCUAAACCGUAAGGUGAUGUAUAGGGGCUGACGCCUGCCCGGUGCUGGAAGGUUAAGAGGAGUGGUUAGCUUCUGCGAAGCUACGAAUCGAAGCCCCAGUAAACGGCGGCCGUAACUAUAACGGUCCUAAGGUAGCGAAAUUCCUUGUCGGGUAAGUUCCGACCCGCACGAAAGGCGUAACGAUUUGGGCACUGUCUCAACGAGAGACUCGGUGAAAUCAUAGUACCUGUGAAGAUGCAGGUUACCCGCGACAGGACGGAAAGACCCCGUGGAGCUUUACUGUAGCCUGAUAUUGAAAUUCGGCACAGCUUGUACAGGAUAGGUAGGAGCCUUUGAAACGUGAGCGCUAGCUUACGUGGAGGCGCUGGUGGGAUACUACCCUAGCUGUGUUGGCUUUCUAACCCGCACCACUUAUCGUGGUGGGAGACAGUGUCAGGCGGGCAGUUUGACUGGGGCGGUCGCCUCCUAAAAGGUAACGGAGGCGCUCAAAGGUUCCCUCAGAAUGGUUGGAAAUCAUUCAUAGAGUGUAAAGGCAUAAGGGAGCUUGACUGCGAGACCUACAAGUCGAGCAGGGUCGAAAGACGGACUUAGUGAUCCGGUGGUUCCGCAUGGAAGGGCCAUCGCUCAACGGAUAAAAGCUACCCCGGGGAUAACAGGCUUAUCUCCCCCAAGAGUUCACAUCGACGGGGAGGUUUGGCACCUCGAUGUCGGCUCAUCGCAUCCUGGGGCUGUAGUCGGUCCCAAGGGUUGGGCUGUUCGCCCAUUAAAGCGGUACGCGAGCUGGGUUCAGAACGUCGUGAGACAGUUCGGUCCCUAUCCGUCGUGGGCGUAGGAAAUUUGAGAGGAGCUGUCCUUAGUACGAGAGGACCGGGAUGGACAUACCUCUGGUGUACCAGUUGUCGUGCCAACGGCAUAGCUGGGUAGCUAUGUGUGGACGGGAUAAGUGCUGAAAGCAUCUAAGCAUGAAGCCCCCCUCAAGAUGAGAUUUCCCAACUUCGGUUAUAAGAUCCCUCAAAGAUGAUGAGGUUAAUAGGUUCGAGGUGGAAGCAUGGUGACAUGUGGAGCUGACGAAUACUAAUCGAUCGAAGACUUAAUCAA